rnacentral:rRNA from 1 species
CGGGACGAGUGAGUAAUGUCUGGGAAACUGCCUGAUGGAGGGGGAUAACUACUGGAAACGGCAGCUAAUACCGCAUAAUGUCGCAAGACCAAAGAGGGGGACCUUCGGGCCUCUUGCCAUCGGAUGUGCCCAGAUGGGAUUAGCUUGUUGGUGGGGUAACGGCUCACCAAGGCGACGAUCCCUAGCUGGUCUGAGAGGAUGACCAGCCACACUGGAACUGAGACACGGUCCAGACUCCUACGGGAGGCAGCAUG